GGUCCAAGCUGUCUGGUCGAGGUCGUGGGCGGGCUGAGUCAACUGGGGCACUCCGAAAGGCUUCGUGUAGGAGGUGGCCCUCGGGCUGAACCGAGAAAGGAGGUGAAGUUCCAAGGUGCUGACGGAAAACAACAGCUGGCACGAGGGAGAGGCUUUUGCAAAGGCGCGGAGGCGGGAGAUGGCGUGUCGAGUAUGGAAAACCACAAUAAAGCCCGUUUGGCUGGACUGAAGAAUGUGGUGGGGAGUGAAUGACCAGCAGCUCCCACACCUGCGCCCUCAGGCGGGGCUGGGGGGCUCAGCGUCUGACAGCCCCUCCCAUCCCCCCCAGGCUACAAAAACUUUGAAGUCCAAGGGCCUGCCUGGCUCUGUCUGAGACGGAAAAUCACCAGCGAACACGAGCAUUUCCCUGUACAAAGAAGAGAAGAAACAUCCGGCUGCCUGUGAAACUGUGACCCUUCACCAUGUGAGGCUUGUUUCUCUAUAGAUAGAUCAGGGCCUCUCUCUUCAUGGAGCUGAGAGCUCUCUCCCAAUGGGAAAGCCCUUUCACUGUUUAUUUUCUGGUGUAUUUCAGUUUAUAUACAUUUCCCUAUGUACUUGA